GAUGAAGAACGCAGCGAAAUGCGAUACGUAAUGUGAAUUGCAGAAUUCAGUGAAUCAUCGAAUCUUUGAACGCAUAUUGCGCUCUUUGGUAUUCCGAAGAGCAUGCUUGUUUGAGUAUCAGUAAACACCUCAAAGCGUUUGGAUUUUUUAAUCGAAAAGCUUUGGACUUGAGCAAUCCCAACACCAAUCUUUUUGAGAUCGGUGGCGGGUUGCUUGAAAUGCAGGUGCAGCUGGACAUUCUCCUGAGCUAAAAGCAUAUUCAUUUAGUCCCGUCAAACGGAUUAUUACUUUUGCUGCAGCUAACAUAAAGGGAGUUUGACCGUAUUGGCUGACUGAUGCAGGAUUUCACAAGGGUCGGCAACGAUUCUUGUUAAACUCGAUCUCAAAUCAAGUAAGACUACCCGCUGAACUUAAGCAUAUCAAUAAGCGGAGGA
rnacentral:misc_RNA from 1 species